rnacentral:lncRNA from 1 species
UAGGAAAACAAGAGGCCUGGCGCCACAUACUCCUCCUCCAUGGGGAGAUGAUGAGAGAACAAAGAACAUGUGAUGGAUGUGAGACACAUCACAUAAUGUGAUGGCCUCAGAUAGUCAGAUGAGCAAGGAUCCAAGCUUCCACAGGACAGAAUGACACCUGAAUUUCUACAAGAGAUUUCAAUCGAAAGUGAAGAUGCUGGGGUGAAUCCCUGCCCUUUGUACAGGAUUGCUGGUGUGCUUCAAAUUCUCACCUCAAUGUGAAUUAACUUCAAGAUGAAGAUGAAGCCUACAUCAAAUAACAAAAUCAACUGUUGCUUUGUCCCAGAUUUGAAGAAAAGGCCUACCUGCAGCUUCAGCAGUAGAUCACCAAGAGAGUGUAUCUUCUGUACCAGGUCAUGGGAGUUCAGCUCAGAGUUGUACAGUAGAAAGAGCAUGCCUGCAGUCUCUUCAAGACAUCAGACUGCUGUAAGUCAGCCAUGCACAUGGCCCUGAAGGGAUAUCUACAAGGUACUUAAAGCUAUAACAUCACUCACAAAGGUCUGAGACAGGAAUAGAGUUUAAAAUAUACAAUCACAUUUGAAAUAUGAUUUAAAGGAGGCCAUAAAUAUCUAUUUUUGAAAACCCGCUGUGGCUGAAUUUUACUUUUGUUUUGUAUUUGACCAUUAAAUAUAUAUAUAUAUAUAUAUAUAUAUUUAAAGAAGGAAAACAGAAACUGUUGAUACUGUGAUAUUUUUUACUGAUGACUCGCAUUACCACUGAGUGACACCUCCUUAAUUCAAUUGCAGGAAUAUACGGACAUUGUGCCCAGGUAAACACUCAUUAACUUUUCUUGACAGCCCUUUUUAAAUUAAAGAAAAAAAAAAAAGACACGCCAAGUUGCUGCCAGUUUUGGCAGCUCUGAUCUUGCCCUGACUCUAAGCCCAAGGAGCCUUUAUCAGGUUUCAUUUCCAAGGACACUGGUCCGCUUCCAGCAAGGCGCGUGUCCCUGGCUGCCGCCACGGCGUUCCCAGCUGCAGAACAAGGGCUGCAAAACCCCUGGUGGGUGCAGAGUGGUGCUCUCCGGUUUUUGUUUUGUGGAAAGAGUUAAAUAAAGACGAGGGUUCAGGGAAGGAGAGUCUGAGC